AACGAACGCUGGCGGCAGGCCUAACACAUGCAAGUCGAACGCCCGUAGCAAUACGGGAGUGGCAGACGGGUGAGUAACGCGUGGGAACGUGCCCUUGGUUCGGAAUAACUCAGGGAAACUUGAGCUAAUACCGGAUACGUCCGUAAGGAGAAAGAUUUAUCGCCGAAGGAUCGGCCCGCGUCGGAUUAGCUAGUUGGUGAGGUAACGGCCACAAGGCGACGAUCCGUAGCUGGUCUGAGAGGANGAUCAGCCACACUGGGACUGAGACACGGCCCAGACUCCUACGGGGA
rnacentral:rRNA from 1 species